rnacentral:tRNA from 1 species
GCGCACGUGGCGAAAUUGGUAGACGUGCAGGUCUCAGAAGCCUGUGCCUUCGGGUGUGGGAGUUCGAGUCUCCCCGUGCGCAC